rnacentral:rRNA from 1 species
GUAGCCGCACGAGCGCACCCCUAUCCUUAUUUGCCAGCACGUAAUGGUGGGAACUCUANCGAUACUGCCGGUGAUAAACCGGAGGAAGGUGGGGACGACGUCNAGUCAUCAUGGCCCUUACGAGUAGGGCUACACACGUGCUACAAUGGCGUAUACAGAGGGUUGCAAAGCCGCGAGGUGGAGCUAAUCUCACAAAGUACGUCGUAGUCCGGAUCGGAGUCUGCAACUCGACUCCGUGAAGUCGGAAUCGCUAGUAAUCGUGGAUCAGAAUGCCACGGUGAAUACGUUCCCGGGCCUUGUACACACCGCCCGUCACACCAUGGGAGUGGGCUGCAAAAGAAGUGGGUAGUUUAACCUUCGGGAGAACGCUCACCACUUUGUGGUUCAUGACUGGGGUGAAGUCGUAACAAGGUAGCCCUAGGGGAACCUGGGGCUGGAUCACCUCCUU